AACGAACGCUGGCGGUGCGCCUAACACAUGCAAGUCGAGCGCGAAAGUCCCUUCGGGGGCGAGUAGAGCGGCGGACGGGUGAGUAAUACAUGGGUAAUCUACCCCCGAGCUUGGGAUAACCCCGCGAAAGCGGGGCUAAUACCUGAUAAGACCACAUAACACAAGUUGUGCGGUAAAAGGUGGCUUGAAUUUAUUCUAGCUAUCACUUGAGGAUGAGUCCAUGGCCUAUCAGCUUGUUGGUGAGGUAAGAGCUUACCAAGGCUAUGACGGGUAGCUGGUCUGAGAGGACGACCAGCCACACUGGGACUGAGACACGGCCCAGACUCCUACGGGAGGCAGCAGUGGGGAAUAUUGGUCAAUGGGCGCAAGCCUGAACCAGCCAUCCCGCGUGAAGGAAGAAUGCGCUACGCGUUGUAAACUUCUUUUCCAGGGGGAGAAUAAUCCUGUCGUGACAGGACUUGACGGUACUCUGGGAAUAAGCAUCGGCUAACUCCGUGCC
rnacentral:rRNA from 1 species